AGGAUGAACGCUGACGGUGUGCUUAAUACAUGCAAGUUGAACGUGCGAUGCAAGAGUGGCAACACUUUUGCAAAGCAAGUGGCGAACGGGUGAGUAACGCGUGGGUAAUCUACCUCGGAGAUUGGGAUAACCUUUCGAAAGAGAGGCUAAUACCAAAUAUCCUAUAUUUUUUGCAUAAAAAAUAUAGGAAAGGUAGCCGCAAGGCCUCUGCUCUAAGAUGAGCCCGCGUCCUAUUAGCUAGUUGGUAAGGUAAUGGCUUACAAAGGCUAUGAUGGGUAGCCGGCCUGAGAGGGUGUUCGGCCACACUGGGACUGAGAUACGGCCCAGACUCCUAUGGGAGGCAGCAGUAGGGAAUAUUGCGCAAUGGGCGAAAGCCUGACGCAGUGACACCGUGUGAAGGAAGAAGGUCUUUUGAUCGUAAACUUCUGUCAAUUGAGGACGAAGGUGGUAGAGUUAAUAGCUCAAACACUGACGGUACUUAAUAAGGAAGUCUCGGCUAACUCCGUGCCAGCAGCCGCGGUAAUACGGGGGAGGCAAGCGUUGUCCGGAAUUAUUGGGCGUAAAGAGCGCGUAGGCGGUUUUUUAAGUCGUUUGUGAAAAUUUCAGGCUCAACCUGGAAAUUGCAUACGAAACUGGAUAACUUGAGUACAGCAGAGGAAAGUGGAAUUCCUGGUGUAGCGGUGAAAUGCGCAGAUAUCAGGAAGAACACCAGUGGCGAAGGCGGCUUUCUGGGCUGUUACUGACGC
rnacentral:rRNA from 1 species